rnacentral:piRNA from 1 species
UGUUUCUAGUUUCCCGGUGCUCCCAAAAGCC